AAAUCGGAGGAGGAGCGCGGUUCGAACGGGAGCAACGGAGCUUUCGUGGCAUUAAAUUCCGAUCUAUGCCGGUGACGGAUAUACGUAUUGCGCGUAAUUAGAGCGCGCUCCAUCGGUUUUUGCGAGAUCGUUGCACCAUCGAAAAGAUUCUGACGUUGGAGUGCAAGAGGUGGCGAGAAUCGAUGCUGUAUAGUACGACGGCUUGACUAUUGGUGUUCAUUAUCGGUGUUCAUUAGUAGUCGUAGAAUUUCUAGUUUGGCUUUUGGUUCGUUAGAACGCUGCCAAUCGAUUUUUGCGAGAUCGUUACACCAUCGAGAAGAUUUUGAUGUUGGAGCCCAAGAAGCGAACUAUCGAUGCAGCAUGGUUGAUUGAUUCACAAAUUAUGAGUCAGACAGGGAAGGUUGUUCUAAUCUGACAGAAAAAAUAUUGGCAUAUCCAAGCAGUGAUAUCUAAAUCUGGUGAAUACAUCCAUACGUCGUAUAUUAUUCCUAAUACUACUAAUUGUAACUUGUAUAUUAUUGAAAAUAUCAUUCAGAUCACAGAUGAUUCUCGUAAUAUAAUGACCAGAUGCCGGACACCGUCAUAUGAAACAGUUCACCAAUUGCUCAUCGGCCAGAUACUUCCUCCAUAAGCAAACAAAAAUCGGGUAUACUGUAUCUCAAAAAUCGUCAUACGAUAUCAAAGAACAACUUUAUGGAAAGUAUUUGAUCGUUGUAUAUCAACUGAUUAUUAAUAGACUGCGGCUCUUUAUAUAAUUGUCUUUUUAAACG